CUGGAUUCCGCCUGGGCCAGGUCCUCCAGCGAUUUCUCCAGCAGAUCCGCCAGCCGGUGCAGCACUUGUGAGCGCUCCUGGGCGCUCCUGGCCGACCAGCCGGGAAAGGCCGCCCUGGCCGCCUCCACUGCGGCUUGGAUCUUUGAGGAGCGACAGGGAGACAAUCAGCAUAAGACUGUUGCUUCUGGAGGAAUCCGGAAACCGCAGCUCCACGCAUGCCUAAUUGUUUUCUACCUGGUUUCAAAUAUUCAACACUCGGUAGGGCCUGCAAAGCGGUGUUUCCGUGACCAGUGAAUCACCGGCACCACAAAAACAAGGAAGAAUGAUCCGUUUUGACCAAGGUAUCCAGAGGCAGCAAUCAGCUUUCUUCCACCCCCGGGCUCGGACCCAGACCCAGAACCCUCCUCCACAGACGUCAGGCAACCACGAGCGUCCUUCCCGUCACACGUGAUCUGACCCGUCUGCUGCCUUCUCCCCCCAGAACUGAUGUACUCCCCUCCUUUGUUUUCAUUAUGCAAACAGAGUCACUUUCGGCCGGGCUGAAUAAAGGAUAAAAUGAU